UGUCACUGCUGGGCAUGGAGGAAUCUUCCAGCAGCUUUGCACAGGAGCCAUCUUCAUGGCACCCCUGCUGCCAAAAAACCAAGCCCUGCAAAACCCAGAACCCUUCCUAUCCAGACUUCAUGAGCUCAUGGAACACUUCAGAAGGGCCAGGAUCAAUGAAUCAAGCUCUGGAUUGAUGGUUUCUAUUGAUGAUGAAUAUCUAUGCAAAGGAGGUAUUAACCAAGAACAUGGAGCAGGAAAAAAAGGGACAAAUCUGGAGUACAUCUCAGUGACUUCUGCCCAUCUCUGGCACCCUCAAUGCCCAGACAGGAAAAGGAGUAUUGCUUAUGUUGCUAUCAACUUAUUUUUGGGAGUUGGUAGUUGACAAUUGUUCAUAAAAAAAGUUAAAAUGGUCCAGGAGAUUACUGGGUGGAGAAAUUUCCAAUGUCUG